GCCGGGCGCGGUGGCGUGUGCCUGUAGUCCCAGCUACUCGGGAGGCUGAGGUGGGAGGAUCCUUUGAGCCCAGGAGUUCUGGGCUGUAGUGUGCUGUGCCAAUCAGGUGCUGCACUAAGUUUGGCAUCAAUAUGGUAACCUCUCAGGAGCAGAGGACUACCAGGUUGCCUAAGGAGGCGUGAACCAGCCCAGUUUGGAAAUGGAGCAGGUCAAAACUCCCAUGCUGAUCACUAGUAGGAUCUCGCCUGUGAAUAGCCACUGCACUCCAGCCUGAGCAACAUAUCGAGACCCUGUCUCU
rnacentral:SRP_RNA from 1 species